AGAGUUUGAUCAUGGCUCAGAACGAACGCUGGCGGCGUGCUUAAGACAUGCAAGUCGAACGGUAAGGCGAAUCAACCUUCGGGUUGCUUCGCACACGAGUGGCGCACGGGUGAGUAACGCGUGGGUAAUCUGCCUUCGGGUCGGGGACAACUUCGGGAAACUGGAGCUAAUACCGGAUAAGACCACGAGGCCUCCGGGCUUUGCGGAAAAAGAUGGCCUCUCCUUGGAAGCUAUCGCCUGUUGAUGAGCCCGCGUCCCAUUAGCUUGUUGGUGAGGUAACGGCUCACCAAGGCUUCGAUGGGUAGCUGGUCUGAGAGGAUGAUCAGCCACACUGGAACUGAGACACGGUCCAGACUCCUACGGGAGGCAGCAGUCGGGAAUUUUGGGCAAUGGGCGAAAGCCUGACCCAGCAACGCCGCGUGAGGGAUGAAGGCCUUCGGGUCGUAAACCUCUGUCGGGAGGGACGAACGGUAGCCAUUCGAAUAGGGUGGCAGCCUGACGGUACCUCCAAAGGAAGGACCGGCUAACUCCGUGCCAGCAGCCGCGGUAAUACGGAGGGUCCAAGCGUUGUUCGGAAUCAUUGGGCGUAAAGCGCGUGUAGGCGGCUUGGUAAGUCGGAUGUGAAAUCCCGGGGCCCAACCCCGGAACUGCAUUCGAAACUGCCUGGCUAGAGUCCCGGAGAGGAAGGCGGAAUUCCCGGUGUAGAGGUGAAAUUCGUAGAUAUCGGGAGGAACACCAGUGGCGAAGGCGGCCUUCUGGACGGUGACUGACGCUCAGACGCGAAAGCGUGGGGAGCAAACAGGAUUAGAUACCCUGGUAGUCCACGCCGUAAACGUUGGGUGCUAGGUGUCGCGGGUAUUGACCCCUGCGGUGCCGUCGUUAACGCAUUUAGCACCCCGCCUGGGGAGUACGGUCGCAAGGCUAAAACUCAAAGGAAUUGACGG
rnacentral:rRNA from 1 species